UACAGAGGUGGCAAGCGUUGUUCGGAAUUACUGGGCGUAAAGGGCGCGUAGGCGGCCUUCUAAGUCAGACGUGAAAUCCCCCGGCUCAACCUGGGAACUGCGUCUGAUACUGGGAGGCUCGAAUGCGGGAGAGGGAUGCAGAAUUCCAGGUGUAGCGGUGAAAUGCGUAGAUAUCUGGAGGAAUACCGGUGGCGAAGGCGGCAUCCUGGACCGACAUUGACGCUGAGGCGCGAAAGCUAGGGUAGCAAACGGG
rnacentral:rRNA from 1 species